rnacentral:rRNA from 1 species
UUGGCCAGUAAUGUUCAUAUGCUUGUCUUAAAGAUUAAGCCAUGCAUGUCUAAGUAUAAGCAACAAUACAGUAAAACUGCAAAUGGCUCAUUACAACAGUUAUAGUUUCUUUGAUAACAAACGUUUACAUGGAUAACCGUAGUAAUUCUAGAGCUAAUACAUGAGCACAUUCUCAACUGUUUUAGAAGAGAAGCAUUUAUUAGAUAAAAAACCAAUAUAUGUUUCUAAGCAUAAAAGUUGGUGACUUACAAUAACUAAGCAAAUCGCACAGUGCAAACUGGCGAUAAGUCAUUCAAGUUUCUGACCUAUCAGCUUUCGACGGUAUGGUAUUGGCUUACCGUGGCAGUGACGGUUAACGGGGGAUUAGGGUUCGAUUCCGGAGAGGGAGCCUGAGAAACGGCUACCACAUCUAAGGAAGGCAGCAGGCGCGCAAAUUACCCAAUUCUAACAGCAUAAGAGAGGUAGUGACAAGAAAUAACAGUACAAGGCAGUUAAAAUGCUUUGUAAUUGGAAUGAUAGAAAUUUAAAUACUUUUUAAAGUAUCAAUUGGAGGGCAAGUCUGGUGCCAGCAGCCGCGGUAAUUCCAGCUCCAAUAGCGUAUAUUAAAAUUGUUGCAGUUAAAAAGCUCGUAGUUGAAUUUCUGCUAAAAAUAACCGGUCUGCUUUUAUUAAUAAAAGUGGUAUCUUGGUGUGUUUUUAGCAAUAAUGUCCUUUGAAUUGUUUUUUACUUUAUUGUUAAAAGCAAAUUUUAGGAUUUUUACUUUGAGAAAAUUAGAGUGUUUCAAGCAGGCUAACGUUUUGAAUACUGCAGCAUGGAAUAAUAAAAUAGGAUUUUAGUUCUACGUUAUUGGUUUUAAGAACUAAAUUAAUGAUUGAUAGGGGCAGUUGGGGGGCAUUUGUAUUUAACUGUCAGAGGUGAAAUCUUCUGUAAGAAUUUUGACC